UCAAACUGCACAGCCUGUGGUCUGCUCAAUGAGGUUUUAAGCACUUUCCAUUACGGGUCGCUCGCUCCCCCCAGAAAACUGCUGUAAAAACUCCUGCAUUCGAGCCGCGUCAUCACUUUACGAGUGAUGACGCGGCAGCAUGUUGUUGUGGCGCGAGACGCAGCGGGUUUCGAAGCGACGGCAUGUCGGGGUCACAGCCGGCACAGAGAGCUGUGACCCCGACCGCAGGGCCGUGUCAAAGGGGGCCGUUGAGAUUCGCCGUGGAGCGAUAGCGUCAACACUUCAGAG